rnacentral:rRNA from 1 species
UACGGGGGGGGUAAGCGUUGUUCGGAAUUACUGGGCGUAAAGGGCUCGUAGGCGGCCAACUAAGUCAGACGUGAAAUCCCUCAGCUUAACUGGGGAACUGCGUCUGAUACUGGAUGGCUUGGAUUUGGGAGAGGGAUGCGGAAUUCCAGGUGUAGCGGUGAAAUGCGUAGAUAUCUGGAGGAACACCGGCGGCAGAAGGCGGCCUCUGGACGGUGACUGACGCUAAGACGCGAAAAGCGGUGGGGAGCAAACAGG